GAGCAUGUUGUUCCAUGUUGAGACGCCUACGCUUGGCUCUGCUUUCUUUAGAUUGCAACAAAAGUGAAUGAAUGAAUGAAUGAAUGACAACAAAGACGAAUACUUUACUAUACCAUGACAAUAUACCUCAUGAGGACACUUCCUUGAGUUGUAGCCUUCAUAUUUACCAUUGCAUUUAGCACUAGUCUUUGUCUUAUCCCAUCUGUCAAAUAUUACAUUUCUUCUUGUCUUGAGAAUAUAUUUGAUAACUUGCUUAUUAAAAUUUUCACCACUGUAAAAUGUCUGCAUGAGACUAAAAACGCCAUCUAAUCCCCCCCCCCCUUUUAGCCAUCCUCUUAGUUUGUUCCUCUUCAUCACCAGAUGACUGCUCAAUGUCAGGAUAUAUCACAUCCUUGUCUCGAAUCUCAUCCUCGUAGUUCUCAUUCCUAAACAUGCUAAGAUCCUCUUCAAAAAAUUUUGUCAGUGUCAUCGUCAUUAUCAAAUUCAUUAGUGUCUUGGUACUCAUCUUCACUCUUUUCUACUUCCUAAUCACCAUCAUAGGUAUCAUAUUGUUGCUCAACAUCAAUCUCGUCAUCAUCAAGAGCCUAUUGCUCAGCAUCAAUCUCGUCACCAUCAAGAGCCUAUUGCUCAGCAUCAAUCUCGUCAUCAUCAAGAGCUUUUUGCUCAGCCUCUACGUCUAUCUCAUCACCAUAAACAUCAUGUUGCUCAGCCUAUGUGACAAUCUCAUCAGUACUCUCUCAUUAUUAUCGAUUAUUAUUGACUUCUAUCACAGUAAUUGUGUCCUCUGUGUCCUCUUGUUGUAAUGCUUGAACAUCAUUUGGCUGUCCUAUUUUUUAAACUAUGAUGUUGUUAGCAAACUAUAAUAAUUGAACACUCAAAAUAGCUUAGAAUACAUUCGGAAACCCAUAAAUUACAUUCCUAAAUAGAUGAUUUGUCAUAGAUAUUAACGAUAAGCAAUACAUUAAAAGAGUUAUCAAAGACAUUCCUAAAAAGAAAUAUCUAUGGAUCAAAAUUUUAACUGAAAAAAAAAUAUAAAACAUCAAUUUUCAUACAUCCAAAAAGGCAUCCUAGUACACAUCUAGGUUUAUGUUGCAGGUGGUGUAGUUGAGGAGACGUCCUCGGCUUCUUGUUAUUGAGCAUGUUGUUCCAUGUUGAGACACCUACGCUUGGCUCUGCUUUGUUUAGACUGAAACAAAAGUGAAUGAAUGAAUGAACGAAUGAAUGAAUGGCAACAAAGACGAAUAAUUUACUAUACGAUGACAAUAUACCACAUGAGGACACUUCCUUGAGUUGUAACCUUCAUAUUUACUAUUGCAUUUAGCACCAAUCUUUGUCUUAUCCCAUCUGUCAAAGAUUACAUUUCUUCUUGUCUUGAGAAUAUAUUUGAUAACUUGCUUAUUAAAAUUUUUACCACUGUAAAAUGUCUGCAUGAGACUAAAAACGCCAUCUAAUUCCCCCCCCCCUUUUAGCCAUCCUCUCUGUUUGUUCCUCUUCAUCAUCAGAUGAUUGCUCAAUGUCAGGAUAUAUCACAUCCUUAUUUCGAAUCUCAUCCUCGUAGAUCUCAUUCCUAAACAUGCUAAGAUCCUCUUCAAAUUUUUUGUCAGUAUCAUCUUCAUCAUCAAAUUCAUUAGUGUCUUGGUACUCAUCUUCACUCUUUUCUACUUCCUGAUCACCAUCAUACGUAUCAUCUUGUUUCUCAACAUCAAUCUCGUCACCAUCAAGAGCCUGUUGCUCAGCAUCAAUCUCGCCACCAACAAAAGCCUAUUGCUUAGCAUCAAUCUCGUCAUCAUCAAGAGCUUUUUGCUCAGCCUCUACGUCUAUCUCAUCACCAUAAACAGCAUGUUUCUCAGCCUAUGUGUCAAUCUCAUCAGUACUCUCUCAUUAUUAUCGACCUCUAUCACAGUAAUUGCGUCCUUUGUGUCCUUUUGUUGUAAUGCUUGAACAUCAUUUGGUUGUCCUCUUUUUCAAACUAUGAUGUUGUUAGAAAAUUGUAAGGCUUGAACACUCAAAAUAGCUUAGAAUACAUUCGGAAACCCAUAAAUUACAUUCCUAAAUAGCUGAUUUGUCAUAGAUAUUAAAGAUAAGCAAUACAUUAAAAGAGUUAUCAAAGACAUUCCCAAAAAGAAAUAUCUACGGAUCAAAGUUUAACUGAAAAAAAAUAUAAAACAUCAAUUUGCAUACAUCCAAAAAGGCAUCCUAGUACACAUCUAAGUUUGUGUUGCAGGUGGUGUAGUUGAGGAGACGUCCUCGGCUUCUUGUUAUUGAGCAUGUUGUUCCAUGUUGAGACGCCUACGCUUGGCUCUGCUUUCUAUAGACUGCAACAAAAGUGAAUGAAUGAAUAAAUUAAUGAAUGAAUGGCAACAAAUACGAAUACUUUACUAUACGAUGACAAUAUACCUCAUGAGGACACUUUCUUGAGUUGUAGCCUUCAUAUUUACUAUUGCAUUGAGCACCAAUCUUUGUCUUAUCCCAUCUAUCAAAGAUUACAUUUCUUCUUGUCUUGAGAAUAUAUUUGAUAACUUGCUUAUUAAAAUUUUCACCACUGUAAAAUGUCUGCAUGAGACUAAAAAUGCCAUCUAAUUCCUCCCCUUUUAGCCAUCCUCUCUGUUUGUUCCUCUUCAUCACCAGAUGCCUGCUCAAUGUCAGGAUAUAUCACAUCCUUGUUUCGAAUCUCAUCCUCGUAGUUCUCAUUCCUAAACAUGCUAAGAUCCUCUUCAAAUUUUUUGUCAGUAUCAUCUUCAUUAUCAAAUUCAUUAGUGUCUUGGUACUCAUCUUCACUCUUUUCUACUUCCUGAUCACCAUCAUAGGUAUCAUCUUGUUGCUCAACAUCAAUCUCGUCACUAUCAAGAGCCUGUUGCUCAGCAUCAAUCUCGUCACCAACAAAAGCCUAUUGCUUAGCAUCAAUCUCGUCAUCAUCAAGAGCUUUUUGCUCAGCCUCUACGUCUAUCUCAUCACCAUAAACAGCAUGUUGCUCAGCCUAUGUGUCAAUCUCAUCAGUGCUCUCUCAUUAUUAUCGACCUCUAUCACAGUAAGUGUGUCCUCUUGUUGUAAUGCUUGAACAUCAUUUGGUUGUCCUCUUUUUCAAACUAUGAUGUUGUUAGCAAAUUGUAAAGCUUGAACACUCAAAGUAGCUUAAAAUACAUUCGCAAACCCAUAAAUUACAUUCCUAAAUAGCUGAUUUGUCAUAGAUAUUAAAGAUAAGCAAUACAUUAAAAGAGUUAUCAAAGACAUUCCCAAAAAGAAAUAUCUAUAUAUCAAAGUUUAACUGAAAAAAAUAUAAAACAUCAAUUUGCAUACAUCCAAAAAGGCAUCGUAGUACACAUCUAAGUUUGUGUUGCAGGUGGUGUAGUUGAGGAGACGUCCUCGGCUUCUUGUUAUUGAGCAUGUUGUUCCAUGUUGAGACAUCUACGCUUGGCACUGCUUUCUUCAGACCGCAACAAAAGUGAAUGAAUGAAUGAAUGAAUGACAACAAAGACGAAUACUUUACUAUACGAUGACAGUAUACCUAAUGAGGACACUUCCUUGAGUUGUAGCCUUCAUAUUUACCAUUGCAUUAGCACCAAUUUUUGUCUUAUCCCAUCUGUCAAAGAUUACAUUUCUUCUUGUCUUGAGAAUAUAUUUGAUAACUUGCUUAUUAAACUCUUCACCACUGUAAAAUGUCUGCAUGAGACUAAAAACCUCAUCUAAUUCUCACUACAAGAAAUGUGGGUAUUAAUAGCAUCAGAUUAUAGCGUUUAUGACAGUUCUGCUAUUAUGUACCAACACUUGUUUUUUUAUAGCGUUUGUCAAUUUAAAACGCUAUAAUUGUUAUCGCGGGAAAAUUAAAAAAAAAUUAACCGCCUAAAUUUGCUAAAUAUAUGCGUUUUACAAUUGCAUAUCCAAAAUUAAAUGCUAUUGUAAGUGUAAAAUAUGUCAAAUUUUAGUCAAAAUACUUUAAGUUGAUCUUUGACGAGACUUUAUUUACAUCCUAAUUUAACUUUUUCUUCACUGUUUUUCUUCGACGAAACUCUCUUUUUCUCCUUGUUUCUCAGAAAAUCCAAAUAGUUAUCUCAAAUCAAAACUUCAAUAAGGCUAUUCAUUGUCUCUUGUUUGCAAUGAACCUCGCCGGUCAAGCUCUCUCUCUCUGAUUUUGUUUUGAUUUUCGUUUGGCCUUUUCAUAUUCUGCUGAGAUUUGAUCGAUCUGUUGUUUGUGGUGUUGAAAUCUGAUAAAAUAUAGUUCUUUGAUCACAAUUCUGAGUUUAGACUUUUCAUAUUCUUGCAGAGAAAUCAGAUCUGUGUUUGCUUGUGUAGAAUCUAUGUUAUUUGUUUCUGGUUGGGUUUGAGAAGAGUGAUUAAUUUGUUUCUAUUUAUGAUUGAUCUUAUUUCAAUUGAUUCUGUUAAGGAGAAAGUUGUUACCUUUUUUACAGUAUGUUGUACAAAGAUUGAAUCUUAAUAUGUGUGAAUGUGUUACUCUCCGCCUACUUGAAUGAAGUAUUAGACUCUAAUUCCUCUUGUUCUUAUAGUUUUUUUUAUGACUUAAGUGGAUGUUUUUAUCUACAGGUACUUCCUGCAAUUUUUUUUGUGAAGGCUAAUAAGGCAGAGUUUCUGAGACUGUGAGGUUUCAGAGGUUUGCUAGCGCUGAUCUGUCUGAACGUUUUAAGAAGAAGAAAUUGAAGUCGCUUAUCCCUUAGAUCGUUCAAGUUAUUUAUCUCGGAUCUUUGUCCGUGUUCUCAGUUGGAGCUAUGACACUUGCAGGCUUGAUGUUAGGAGUUUUCAAGGCUCCUAAUCAAAUGUUAUAGUAUAAAGGAUGUCAAACCAGUUCUAAGUGAUUCUAAAGCAAAGGGAAUGCAAGACCAUGCUUAAUCUAAGUGCUAUCAAUUGGUGAGAUGAUUUUGAACUUGAAUACUAAUAAAAUGCAAUAAAGAACAAAGCUUUCCUUUCUUAUGAGGUGGGAGAACUCAUGGGCUAAGGGAAUUGACCUUGGGUGAUCAAGUUUCAAUCUAAAGAUGGUAUCUUUCAAUCAUCUAUUAACCUUAGACCUAGGCACAAUCCUAAACAAACUCUAUCUCUAGAUGAAUGCUCAUUCACUAAGAUAACUCAAGCAUCAAAUCUCUUUGGUUGAAUAUUAUCUAAGCAAUCAUUAAUUUCAAGUCCAUUAGCCAUCUUAACACCUUUAACAUCAAAUCUCUUUGGUAAAAAGUGUUAAAAGCAUAGUAGAGUUGGUUCAGGCAUUUCAUCGAACACCUAUCGGGUGUGAAAUGCCUAAGGCUCAACUUUAGAGAGGCCAACUCUAAAACUGCAUUAAAAACACUUUACUAGCAAGGAACAAGAUGGAUCUGUGCUACAACACCUUAGAUCUAGCCUAAUCACCCUUAGUCUCCCUAGCCCAUGAAUCCAAAUAUAAUUACUCACUAAUCUUCAUGAUAAACCCCGGAAUCAAUGAUGAUUUGGUGUUAAUCAUGAUUAGUGAUCAAAUUAACAAAGCAAUCACAAAGGAUAAUGAUCAAGAUUAGAUCUUUUUACCUAAAGGUUCCUUUUUUUUAUUAGAUAGAAAACAAGAUGAUCCUAACUUUAGGAUUACAAGAGUAUUUAUAUGUUUUUGGUAAACUUAAUGGUUUCCAUUAAAAAGUCUUAAAAGCCCUUAAAAACAUUAAAAUUCGACUAAGGUAAAGUUUCGACUCGGGUCGAAACAACUGGGAACACCCCGCGUCGCACCACCCGCGUCGGAUAGUCAUCGAGCUUCUUUCUUAAUGCGAGCGGGUAGGCGUCUCCGUGUGGCCUCACCCCGCGUCGGACCGUCGUCUUCUCUUCUUCCUACGCGGGUAUGCGACCCCGCGUCACUCAACCCACGUGAGAUCGUCUAUGCUUCGUUUCUCUCUGUGCGUGCGGGUAACGGUGUCCGCGUGAUCCAAGCCGCGUUGGAGCUCUCCGUUGGCUCCUCUCGAUGCCUCGACGCGGGUAAGAGUACCCGCGUUGGUUCAACCCGAGUUGUGCUCGCUUAAACUCGAACUAACUUCAUUUUCCAUCUCUUCUUGAGCCAUAAUGCUUAUAGACACUUCCAAUUACUUCAUAGGACACUCCACUACCUGAUUAGGACAUAUGAAUGCAAUAUGGAUUCUAAAGAUGCUAAGUUCCUAAUCUAUAUGAUCAUUAUAUGCAAAAUGGAGACUUAAAACAAUGCAAAUAUGCAAGAUAUCAAGGCUCUUAUUUAGGCUCCGGUGCGAUUGUGUCCUUUAUGACAUCAUUAGCUUUCUUGAUCGAGCCUGUCCAUGCAUAUACAAAUCUACUUUUGCUUAGUUCAGUAUACUUGAGAAUCUAAAGAAGGUUUAUACAUAACUAUCUCUCUCUUUUACUUUCACUUGUAUGCUACUAACUCUAUGAUAUAUAGCCCCAAUAGUUCUUCCACGGUUUGCCUUUACCUCUUGUAUAUAGAUGUACGCAAUGAAGGCACCUUUGUGCUCUACACUAAAAAUAGUAAGGUAAAGAAAGAUCUUCACUUUAGUUUUGUUUAAGAAAGUGUUUUGUGGACUAUAACAGACGUUAGCAUUUACUUGACAGAAAACAAUGGAAGCGGCAGUGGUAGUGAGCAGAGGAGGCGACUGCGGUAACUAGCAAAAAUUGCUUCUCAACACUUGAUCGCUGAGGUAGCAAUCUUAGGAAUUGUUUUGCAACCUCAAAAACAUGCUUGUGAUUGUGUUCUUGUGUGUAACAUAACAAUGGUGUAAAUGCAUAUAGAUGUAAGGGCCGGACCUUGAAGACUGUCGUGAAAAAGAGCCUCUUGGUCAUGGGUUCUAUGCAGACUUCACUAUGGCAACAAGGAUAACAAUGCAAGACUUAAUCACCGAGUGUGUUGUAUUUUGCUUUGAGUUCAUGUGUUUCAUCAAUUGAUUUUGUAUGUUUUGAAUCUUUAAUGGAAAAGCAUAUUGUAAUUUAUGAUUUAUUUAUGUUUUAUUAGAGAAAAUUAUAUUUUUAAUCAUAUUGCAAUAUAUAUUAUAAAGAUCUUAUCAUUUCUAUUUAUAAAUUUAUAUAUAAUUUUAACAAAGCGACUAGCUAGACUUAUUUUUAACCCCUAACCCCUAGAUAUAUUUUUAACCCCUAGACCAUAAAUAUAAUCAUAAAGUCUAAAUUUUGAACUUUAAAAAAAAAAAAACUUUUAAUAUUUAUAUGAAAAGACAGUUCGAUAUAAAUAUACUAAUGCAACCUGAAUCCAUCUAAUACCAUAAAUCUAAUUCCCUAAACCCUAAACUUCAAGCUUGAAUGAUAUUCUAAAUACUAGAUAACGUCUUUUUCAGAUUUUAAACCCAACAUUUAAACUUAAACUUUAAAUCUAAUUUUUAAAACUCUCAAAUCUUAAAUGUAAACCUUAAAUUCUCCAUCAAAUUCUAUGCCCAAAAUCCUAACUUCAAACAUAAACCGUUCAUCCACUAAAUAUAUACUUCCAAUCUAAAUUUUUAAAAUUUAACAAACUUCAAAUCUAAAUCUUAAUCACAAACCUUUACAUACAACUCUAAACCUUAUACUUUCAUAACUCUAAACCUCUAAAUCAUAAUGAACUAUAUUUAGUAAAAACAACAGUGCUAUAUCAUAAACAUUGAAGAUACUCGUACUUAAAAAAUAAAUUGUAAAACUAAAGUUAUUUUUCUUAAUCCUAAACUAUUAAUUUAAUCUAAAAUGUUAAUCUUGUAAAUCUUAAACUUCACUUUAGAAUAAAUAAUAAUCUACUAAAAUAUAUAUAUAGUAGUUUAGGGGUUUAUAUAGUACACUUCAAACCCUUAACAUUACACUUCAAACCUCUACAUCCAAAUCUUAAUACAAACUAUCAAAUUAUUAUUUUCAAAAAACAAUCUCAAAUCUUAUCAUAACUCCAAGCCCCAUAUAUAUAUUCAGAUUAGUUAACUAAACUUCAAAUUUAAUAUUCUCUUCUUAAAUCUUAAAUCUUAAAACUAGCUCCACACUAUAUUCCCAAUUUCAAAAUUGUAAAAUUAAAUCUUAAAUUAUAAACUUCAAAAUAUAAUUUUUGAAUAAAACAUUACUUUAAACAAAUAUAAGCACAAAAAAAAUCAUCAAAUAAUGAAAUACAAGACACAAGAAAAUAAAAAAGAAAGACAAAGUUGUCUUGGCCAAUUAGAUCUAUAUACACGGAUCACCUUCUCAACCGUUGGAUUAUAUUAAAUCAAAGGUCAAGAUUCAUUUUUUUCUUUUUUCAUUUUCCCUCACUGGCUCCCUCUCUCUGCCGACAGAUCCAUUCUUUUUUUUUUAGUCUUUUCAUCUUCUUUGCUCUCAUCUCUCCCAUCGAUUUUGAAUCCUCAAUUUCGUGUCUACGGCCUUGUUCUCUUCCUCAAGUUUGGAUGCCGUCCCAUUUUGGUCCUCUCUUCCCCAGAAUCCAUCGUUUACGGCCUCACUGGAGAGAGAGGAGACCGAGAGAAUAAAGAAGAGAUAGAGUUCGGAAGAAGACGGAUAUGAAGAAGCUUUGCUGGUGGAGAUGGAUCCGAGCAAGAAGAAGAAAGAGAGAAAGAGGGAGAAGACAAAGACGUAAGGAAGAUGGAAGAGGAAGGUGACGAAAGAGGAAGGCAGCGGCGUAGAUUAGGUUUAGUUUUGGUUGGUUUAUUAGGUUUGGUUUAGAUAGGGUUAAUUUAAUAAACCGGUUUGUGUGUAAACCAAUGUUAAGAAAUAAACCGAUAUUAAUUGAAAACCAGUUAUUUGUAUACUGAUUUUAAUUAAUAAAUAAAAUUUAAUUUUUAA